rnacentral:lncRNA from 1 species
UGGAAACACAGAAUUUACGGUGGAGUCUGACCAGCACUAGCCUGGGGCUACAGAAUGUACCUUCAUUAAUGCAGCUCCACUGGCAGCCUCAUGCCCUGCCCACCAGCACUGAGAACACCUACCCAGAACGCUCAGAACACCUGAAAGUAUUUGUGAAACAGAGCAGACAGGUGAGACCAUUUUCUUUGCAGAAAAUACAGCAGAGCCAAGGUUGGGAGUCAGGUUCCAGAAAGCCACAAAGCCUUCUGGCAGCAGCAGCAGGAGGAGGUCAGAAGGCAGAUGACCACGUCCCAAGACACAAUGUUCCAUGUGGCAAGCACUGCCUUUCAGUCAGCACAGUGAGGGCAUAUCCCCAUUUGAUGAGCCGGCCAAAAGUCUAAGUAGAGACCCUCGGUGAACAGGAAGCCCGGAGGGGCUGACCUUCGUGACUCCCUCCACAGGCCCUGGGAAAAAUAUCAGAGGCCAGAAUUCAACCCUCUCACUACAAAACGGUUAAACCAAGACUGUUGGGUCUUGACUAAGCCAGAGAUUGACCCAAUUCUCCGGACAGUUAUGCAAUCGUUUGCAGCACAAAAACGCAAUGUCCUACCUGUGAGAGAUAUUCUUCUUCUCAGUCCCAUUCUACAGAUGGAAAAAACUGAGGCCAAGAAAGAGUAAGUGACCACACCAAGCACUUCUCCUAGGAAAUGGCAGAACUGGAACACUACAGAUAACGCAGCACCUCUUCUGAACCCACUGCAGAUCUGAGAGAUUGUGUCAAUUCUUCCCAUCCACUUGGGUUGGUUUUUCAGUUGGCUAUCCUUCUGCCGAGAUACCUGAAUCCCAACCCUCAUCCCUGUGGAAUUUGAAAGUGGAUUUUCUGAACCUUUGAUUAAAAUAUACAGUUUUUAGUUUUGGGGUGGUUGAGUUUUUGGUGGUUUUUUUCGCUUGUUUCUUUUGGUUUUGUUGUUUUUGCUGUCUCAUCUCCCCAAGAGAAAAACAGCUCCAGAACAGGAAGGACUCCCUCGAGAAGCACCUCGGAGGGAUGGGGUUAAGCCAGCAGGUGUGCCGGUCUUGGCAUUCAAGGCAAGCCAAAGUACUGGAUCUGACGGGUUUUAUUGUUUUAAGAGGUACAAGUUCACAGCUUCCUGAAUGGAAGUCUCUUCAUUUCUUGGAGCCAAGCUUAAAUGCCUUUAAAAUCUUGGCCUGCCGUUAUCCUGUAGCUGUUAAUUAAGCUUUGAAAACUUUACAUUAUGUUUACAGUGCACUGUGCGAAUUGCAAAAUAAAUUAGAACCCGAGGCAAAGAAAUUGGAGUUUUCAAUAAAUGGAACAAAAACCGGAGAGAGUCGCUUUUUAGAUAAUGUGAGACUCGCUAUUUCUCACUCUGAUAUUUCUUUCUAAGGGGGAAAAUGGACUUUGAAAAAAUAAACUUUUGCUUCAAAAUGUAACAC